rnacentral:lncRNA from 1 species
UUCUUCUCCCCAAAGGCCCCCCAGUACAAAGCUGUAUAUUCUAGUUGUAGGUCUUUCUAGUUGUGUUAUGUGGGAUGCUGCCUCAACACGACUUGAUGAGCAGUGCCAUGUCUGCACCCAGGAACGAACCAGCGAAACCCUGGGCCGCCGAAGCAAAGCCCGCAAACUUAAUCACUCAUCCAGGGGGCUGGCGCCACAUUUGUGCAUUGUUAACCAAGAAUCUGAUUUAACCAUUCACCGUUGGUGUGAUACAUUCCAAGGUUACUCCUUCAAGGCAACUGCAACAUCCCAAAGGACCUGAUAAUGACCUCCUUAAAAUACAACCAUCAAAGAAGAUAGUGCGCCUAUUUCCCAGCUUCUGUGGGCAGAGUCAAAGACCAUAGUCCCGUUCCACAUAUUUGAGGAGUUGACAGCUGACACAUGAUGCAAGUUGGACUAAUCAGAGGGAAGCAGAGAAUUUGUUGAUGAUUAUGGGAAGAAAGGUGAACGAGGAAGCAGGUAGCCCAGGCGACUGUUGGGACCCAUCCUAAAACUCUGAUGAGAGCCACCAUACUGAAAGUUAGAGCUGGAAAUCUGGACAGACAAGUCCUGCUGGCAUUUUAAGCCUCUGAGCAGCCCGUCACCUAAGCCCUCUCGUACAUGAGCAGAAAAAUGUCCCUUUGUGAUUUAAGUCAGCUUGAGCUGAGUUUUCUCUUGUUUGCAAUUGAAAGUAUCCUAAUUUAUACAAGGACCUUAAUACAUACCAACUGGUUAACGUCUGGUUCCAAAGAGUUCACCCAUCCACUCAAAGGUAAGACAAAGACUGAAAGCCAGGGACUUGGAGUGCCAUCUGGAGACUUUUUGUUAACUUUCCACAGAAGGUCUCAAAAUUCUCAUUUUAAUCUCCAAUCACAAUUGUAGUUCCCUUUCAAACCUGUGUAUGAUGAUCCCAAACCCCUGUGUAAAACAGUUUGUUUUAUUAUUUGUUUCUCAGGAAAAAAAUUAAAAAAAAAAAUAAGGCAACUAUCUAUAUAAAAAUGAAACCCUUAAUAUGUCCUUGAAACUAUUGUUCUAUUGUCAAACAUCAGUUAAGUAUUUAAUCUGAACCAGGUUUUGUUCAAGAGAUUGGAACAGAAUACCCCUCACAGUCUGAUGAUAAGAAGUAAAGGAACAAGUAUAACAAGUAACAUAUAUAGCAAGUAAAUGAAUAUAUGAUUACAGUAGACAACUUAUAGACUCACUUGCCAAGGACCAUCUACCUCACUGACCUGCCAUAGUGCUCCUGGCUGCAUCUUCAAAACAAAGCCCUGGCAGAGUCAAGCCUUUUUUACCGACAAAGAAGGAUGACUUUAUUAGAGCAACAAGAAGCAGAGACUCUCAGAGCCUGAAGCAAAGGAACAGAGCGGACGGCCGAUGUGAGGAGGUAGACCCCAGGGGGUCCAUGAGGAAGGCAAGAGGAUAGUGAAGUCCUGUGGUCCUGGGGGAUGGAGGCACCUCGAGGGACCAAAGGAGAACAAAGGAAAUCCAAGUCAUUUGGUAGAAUUUACUUCUAGAAAGUAAUCAUGGAAAGAAAUGGGUGGAAAGUGGUUGGUUCUCACAGGUUAAUUCAGAAAACUUUAAGGGCAGACAAGGGUUUUAGCGAGUAAUAUAUA